ACAAGCAGCGAGCGUGUGGUUUAAUUCGAUGCUACACGAAGAACCUUACCAGGGUUUGACAUACAAGUAGUAGGGAAGGAAACUGGACCGACCCUUCGGGGAGCUUGUACAGGUGCUGCAUGGCUGUCGUCAGCUCGUGUCGUGAGAUGUUCGGUUAAGUCCGCUAACGAGCGCAACCCUCGCUGUGUGUUACAAGUGUCACACGGAACUGCCGGUCAUAAACCGGAGGAAGUGGGAUGACGUCAAGUCAGCAUGGCCUUUAUAUCCUGGGCUACACACACGCUACAAUGGGAAGGGACAAUAGGUUGCGAAGCCGCGAGGCGGAGCCAAUCCAGCAAAACUUCCCUCAGUUCAGAUUGCGGGCUGCAACCCGCCUGCAUGAAGUUGGAAUCGCUAGUAAUCGUGGAUCAGCCAAGCCGCGGUGAAUACGUUCCCGGGCCUU
rnacentral:rRNA from 1 species